ACCUCAUGCUUAUUUACUUCAUUCCUCAUAGAGAGCACGGGUUCCUCCUCCCCAUUAACAUUUAGGGAUCUUCCUCUGUCUGCUUCAACCCAGACAGAGCACACCGACACCACAUUGCCCUCAGCAGCAUCCUGAGAAGCCAAACUCGGCUGCCAUUCUCCCACACACAGAGAGAGAAAGGAGAACAGAAAACAGUUAAAAACGACAGUUACUUGAAUAACAGUCACAACAGAAUGGAAUGCCUCUCUCAUGUGACUCACAGCCAGCCAAUCACAUUUCAGGAAAUUAAAAUUAUUAUCCUUAACACUGGCAGGCCUCGUCCUAGAAGCUCUUUGAGUUAGGAUGAAAUGUAUGUAGAACAGGGCUGCUGUUGUUGUUUUGCAAGAUGGCUAGCAUUCCUGUUUGCAUCAGCCGGUUAUAGAACGUCUGGUGCACAGACCUUGACCAAGCUGUGCCUUCUCAGCCCAUCCCCAAAAGCCCAAAGAAGCAUAAAAUAAAUAAACCCCUACGAAUGCCAGUAGAUUGGUCUUUAAAGGUACUGCAGCCAAAUUGUGAUGGAAAAGGCCAUAAAUCAAAGUACGGGCAGGCCAUUGCUCUUGAUGGAGACAUAAGCCUCCCACCCCCUGUAGCUCCCGCAAGAGAGAGAGAAAGAGAGAGAUUUUUCCACCGCCAUAUAUGGGAAAGGGCCCUGCACGAAAUGGCAAACUAAUGACUGAAGAGCCAGGGAUACACAAGAGAGGAUAAUAGAGGCUCUUCCCUACCCCAGUCACGACCCGCUUCCCCAGACUAACUGAUUGCCGUUUCACAGCUGAUGCCCUUAAAGAGAAACACGCGGUUCCUGCCAGCCAGAGACAUGUGCUCGCAUUUCUAAGCCUCCUGCUACACUGAUGCUUCCAAAUUCCCAUUAUGCCAAUCCACCUUUUGUCUUCCCAUCCGACUCUGACGGGUGGGAGAGGGAGGGAAGGUGAUGUAUUUAUCACCCCUGCAUAAUGAAGGCUCUUUCAUCAACCCACAUACAUUUGAUUCACAGCUGGAGGCAAAAGUCUCACACUGUGCAUUGAUUUAUGCAAGAUUCUUUAUUAAAAAACAGGAGCCCAGGAGCUGAAAUGGGUUUGUUCUCUCUCACAUACACACACAAUAUCACACAUUCACACAACACACACACACACACUUGUGUGGCAGUUGCUUCAGGCUAAAGGUGCAGCUUACAGUGGGAUCCACUUCUUUCAACUUUGACCCAGACUUCUUCAUCUAGCUAAUGUCUCUGCUUCAUAGUUGGCAGAAUUUUUUGUAUAAAAGAUGCCCAGUUAGUAAGGGGGUGGGGGACUUUGGUAAUAUAGCACUCUGAGUGAGGACAAAAUCCCCCCCCCUUAUUUUCACAAUAAUUCCUUUUGGUACAGUUGCUUUUUAAAUGGAUCUUCUCAGUAAGUACCUGAAUAAAUAUAGGAUGGUGAUGAUGAUGAUGAUGAUGAUGAUGAUGGUGUGCCCCCUCAGCUUGGUGCCCUGUGUGGGAGAACUGAUCACACAACUCUAAAGCCAGUGCUGAGUUAGCUCACUUCAUUCUUAAUAGGCUUUGCAGCCCCCUGCUGUUUACCACCUAACUGGUGCUUUAUUCCCUAUUCUCUUCCCUUAUUUUCAGGAAACAUAAGUGUCAGGGAACUGCCAUCAGUGCCGGAGGGAGAGAGCAAAAUCCAGAGGGAUUCUGGAG
rnacentral:lncRNA from 1 species